GAUGAAGAACGCAGCGAAAUGCGAUAAGUAGUGUGAAUUGCAGAAUUCAGUGAAUCAUCGAAUCUUUGAACGCACAUUGCGCCCCUUGGUAUUCCAUGGGGCAUGCCUGUUCGAGCGUCAUUUGUACCUUCAAGCUCUGCUUGGUGUUGGGUGUUUGUCUCGCCUCCGCGUGUAGACUCGCCUCAAAACGAUUGGCAGCCGGCGUAUUGAUUUCGGAGCGCAGUACAUCUCGCGCUUUGCACUCACAACGACGGCGUCCAGAAGUACAUUUUUACACUCUUGACCUCGGAUCAGGUGGGGAUACCCGCUGAACUUAAGCAUAUCAAUAAGCGGAGGA
rnacentral:misc_RNA from 1 species